CUCAACCCACUCCCAUCCAACCUCACCACCCAAGUUCGCCGUGAACACCAACCACUCUCCCUUGCGGCUGAAACACACGUGGUUCAACCUCUCCUUCAUUCCCCUUUAACUGCGCCAACUAUGUACAAGUUCUUAUGCCCCCGACCUCCCAGACCGAAACACAACACUCUUCAACAAUUGCAUAACAGAAUAUGCAAAAUAGGUGCAUUCAAUAGUAAUACAAUAAUGUUUACAUAUCACAUAUCAUUCCAUUUUCAGUCCAAAAAAAAUAAAUCUUUCCAUUUACAUAAAAAAAUAUCAUUCCAUUAACAAAUAUAAUAUUUAAUCCCAAGUAAGAAAAUUCCAUUCCCGGCUCAAUUAAAACCAAA
rnacentral:lncRNA from 1 species